rnacentral:lncRNA from 1 species
UGCUAUUUUUUUUGAAAAAUAAUUUAUUCAAGAUGGUGGCAUCGAAAGAAUAAUUAAGCUCAAGGAGAAUGUCUCCCAAGAGCAACGAGCUAAAGAACCUGAGGAACCAAAUCAAUUAGAACCAAAUCAAUUAGAUCAACUAGGGUUUUCCAUCCUCCUGAAAGGUACUUAGGUACUAUACAAGAGGAAGUAGAGGAAAUGUUCCUCACGAGAAAUGGGGCUCAUG